rnacentral:tRNA from 1 species
GGGGCGGUCAGCGGGGUGCGGGGGCGGUUCAUGCCGCUUCCGUCGGCAUGUCCGGCAGAACCGUCGGCGCCGGAUCCUCCCCCCACACCGCACCG